GAUGAACGCUGGCGGCGUGCCUAAUACAUGCAAGUCGAGCGAAUGGAUUGAGAGCUUGCUCUUAUGAAGUUAGCGGCGGACGGGUGAGUAACACGUGGGUAACCUGCCCAUAAGACUGGGAUAACUCCGGGAAACCGGGGCUAAUACCGGAUAACAUUUUGAACCGCAUGGUUCGAAAUUGAAAGGCGGCUUCGGCUGUCACUUAUGGAUGGACCCGCGUCGCAUUAGCUAGUUGGGGAGGUAACGGCUCACCAAGGCAACGAUGCGUAGCCGACCUGAGGGGGUGAUCGGCAACACGGGGACUGAGACACGGCCCAGACUCCUACGGGAGGCAGCAGUAGGGAAUCUUCCGCAAUGGACGAAAGUCUGACGGAGCAACGCCGCGUGAGUGAUGAAGGCUUUCGGGUCGUAAAACUCUGUUGUUAGGGAAGAACAAGUGCUAGUUGAAUAAGCUGGCACCUUGACGGUACCUAACCAGAAAGCCACGGCUAACUACGUGCCAGCAGCCGCCGUAA
rnacentral:rRNA from 1 species